rnacentral:rRNA from 1 species
UGAGUAACCUGCCCUUAACUCUGGGAUAAGCCUGGGAAACUGGGUCUAAUAUCGGAUAUGACUCCUCAUCGCAUGGUGGGGGGUGGAAAGCUUUUUGUGGUUUUGGAUGGACUCGCGGCCUAUCAGCUUGUUGGUGAGGUAAUGGCUCACCAAGGCGACGACGGGUAGCCGGCCUGAGAGGGCGACCGGCCACACUGGGACUGAGACACGGCCCAGACUCCUACGGGAGGCAG